rnacentral:ncRNA from 2 species
AACGUAACCCACGGGAGCCCGGGGCAUCGGGCUGAGAGGGGGGCUGCCGCCCCCGACCGUCGAACCUGAUCCGGGUAAUGCCGGCGCAGGGAGGAGGCUCCAUGGCAAC